CGACCACUGUGAAAGAAGUAUGUGUAAGUUUCCUUUUAUUGCGAGAUGCAUUAUGAAUGAAUGCAAAUGUACUCUUGUACACUACCUAAUAUAAUCUAGGAGGAGCAUAGCUAAGGGAAAGUCAUCCGUUCAAAUCUGAUAGGAGGCUCUUUUUUUUUUUGUCAUAAUGACACCAUAGUAUUCCUAAUUUGAAGUAAGAAUAUAUAUUAUUGAUAUUUGUAAGAAGUUUAUGUUUGUAAUAAAAUAAAAUAAAAACCAUGGAAUAGUUGAAUUUCAUUAAAAAUUAGGAUUUAUAAUAUAAAGAAAUUAUAUUAAGAUAUUGUUAUCAUUCGAAUGAAUU
rnacentral:lncRNA from 1 species